GUGCCAGCAGCCGCGGUAAUACGGAGGGUCCAAGCGUUGUCCGGAAUCACUGGGUGUAAAGGGUGCGUAGGCGGGCUAGUAAGUCAGGGGUGAAAGCCCGCGGCUCAACCGCGGAACUGCCCUUGAUACUGCAAGUCUUGAGUCCUGGAGGGGCUGGCGGAAUUCGUGGUGUAGCGGUGAAAUGCGUAGAUAUCACGAGGAACACCGGAGGUGUAGACGGCCAGCUGGACAGGUACUGACGCUGAGGCACGAAAGCGUGGGGAGCGAACAGGAUUAGAAACCCCCGUAGUCC
rnacentral:rRNA from 1 species